ensembl:lncRNA
CCCUCGCACCCGGGCUCACCACCACCGGGUGGCUUUUGUAAAACAGCGAACGGCGAGAAAUAUGCGUUUAAUGUGGUAAAUAUAAGAGGAAUAUGCCAAAGUCAUUUAUAUGUGCCAAUCUUCCUGCUGCCAGCUGGUGGCGCUAUGACUAUAACUGGAUUUUGUCAUGUAGAUUUCUUCAGUCCAGCACUUUUAUCAAGCAUAUGAAAUUUAGUGCAGAUUGAACAUGGAAUGUUUGAGUUAGUAUAAAGUAUGUUGUGUCCUAUUGCCAACAGGUGGCGCUAUGAUUAUAACUGAACAUUGGCCUUUAGAUAUCUUCAGGCCAUGACUCUUAUCAAAUAUUUGAAGUUUGUUGCAGAUUGGAC